UCUGCUAAUUAGUGGGGGACAACAUUCCGAAAGGGAAGCUAAUACCGCAUACGCCCUACGAGGGAAAGCAGGGGAUCUUCGGACCUUGCGCUAAUAGAUGAGCCUAAGUCAGAUUAAAUAGUUGGUGGGGUAAAGGCCUACCAAGGCGACGAUCUGUAGCGGGUCUGAGAGGAUGAUCCGCCACACUGGGACUGAGACACGGCCCAGACUCCUACGGGAGGCAGCAGUGGGGAAUAUUGGACAAUGGGCGCAAGCCUGAUCCAGCCAUGCCGCGUGUGUGAAGAAGGCCUUUUGGUUGCAAAGCACUUUAAGCGAGGAGGAGGCUACUUGGAUUAAUACUCUAGGAUAGUGGACGUUACUCGCAGAAUAAGCACCGGCUAACUCUGUGCCAGCAGCCGCGGUAAUACAGAGGGUGCGAGCGUUAAUCGGAUUUACUGGGCGUAAAGCGUGCGUAGGCGGCUUUUUAAGUCGGAUGUGAAAUCCCUGAGCUUAACUUAGGAAUUGCAUUCGAUACUGGGAAGCUAGAGUAUGGGAGAGGAUGGUAGAAUUCCAGGUGUAGCGGUGAAAUGCGUAGAGAUCUGGAGGAAUACCGAUGGCGAAGGCAGCCAUCUGGCCUAAUACUGACGCUGAGGUACGAAAGCAUGGGGAGCAAACAGG
rnacentral:rRNA from 1 species